rnacentral:tRNA from 1 species
UCCCAGGUGGCUCAGUGUUAAAGAGUCACCUGUCAACGCAGGUGACUCAGGAGAUGCAGGUUCAAUCCCUGCUUCGGGAA